UGUGAAUUGCAGAACUCAGUGAAUCAUCAAAUCUUUGAACGCAAAUUGCACUAAUAGUAAUGUUAGUACAUUUAUUUGAGUGUCGUUUAAUAAUCUAAUCAUUAUUAUAAUGAAUGUCUAUUUACAGUCAUUUUAACAUUAUAUAAUCC
rnacentral:rRNA from 1 species